GGCGCAAGCCUGAUGCAGCGACGCCGCGUGAGGGAUGACGGCCUUCGGGUUGUAAACCUCUUUCAGCAGGGAAGAAGCGAAAGUGACGGUACCUGCAGAAGAAGCGCCGGCUAACUACGUGCCAGCAGCCGCGGUAAUACGUAGGGCGCAAGCGUUGUCCGGAAUUAUUGGGCGUAAAGAGCUCGUAGGCGGCUUGUCACGUCGAUUGUGAAAGCCCGAGGCUUAACCUCGGGUCUGCAGUCGAUACGGGCUAGCUAGAGUGUGGUAGGGGAGAUCGGAAUUCCUGGUGUAGCGGUGAAAUGCGCAGAUAUCAGGAGGAACACCGGUGGCGAAGGCGGAUCUCUGGGCCAUUACUGACGCUGAGGAGCGAAAGCGUGGGGAGCGAACAGGAUUAGAUACCCUGGUAGUCCACGCCGUAAACGGUGGGAACUAGGUGUUGGCGACAUUCCACGUCGUCGGUGCCGCAGCUAACGCAUUAAGUUCCCCGCCUGGGGAGUACGGCCGCAAGGCUAAAACUCAAAGGAAUUGACGGGGG
rnacentral:rRNA from 1 species